rnacentral:tmRNA from 1 species
GGGGGUGACAGGUCUCGACUCCGGAUGUCGUGGCAGGGGAAGCGGGCCGAGGAAGCCGACGAUCAUCUCGUUAACGACCCGUCGGAAAACAAUCAAGCGCCGACAACAGUCCGCGCGCGUACGCCUACGCUGCCUAGCAGCUAGUGCGUCGCUGUCAGCCUGGGAGAGCCUCCGGCCCAGGACCUGGCACCGCUAGGAGGACCACCACCCGUUCUGGCCGCGGGGGCGGGUGGUGAGCUACCGCGGCUGGGCCUGUUCACAGCGUGCUGGUGCGACUGCGAGGGCCGAGAAAAGCGAAGCCAGCUGCGCCCGGAGAAGCCCUGUUGUGCCACCGGAGGACGCGGGUUCGAUUCCCGCCACCUCCACAA